rnacentral:lncRNA from 1 species
AUGGCACUGAUGGCGAAGAAGGAAACUCCUGUCUCUCCUAUGGCUAAAGCCAAAGCAAAGGCUUUGAAGGUCAAAAAGGCAGUGGUGAAAGGUAUUCACAGCAACAAAAAAAAAGAAGAUCCGCAUGUCACCCAUCUUCUAGCAGCCCAAGACACUGAGGCUCUGGAGGCAGCCCACGUAUCUUCAGAAGAGCACCCUCAGGAGAAACAAGAUUGACCACCAUGCUAUCAUCAAAUUCCUACUGAGUCUGCCAUGAAGAGGAUAGAAGGUAACACACUUGUGCUCACUGUGGAUCUUAAAGCCAACAAGCACCAGGUCAACAUGCCCUCCUCACAGGCUUGUGAAGAAGCUCUAUGACACUGAUGUGGCCAAGGUCAACACCUUGAUCAGGCCUGAUGGAGAGAAGAAGGCAUAUGUUUGACUGGCUCCUGGUUCCCAUGCUCUGGAUGUUGCCAACAAAACUGAAUAAUCUAA